UUUGCAUCAAGGUGGAUAGCAAUGCGUGCCACUAAUUUAUAUCACUGCCUAGAAAGGCAGGUAGAGACGGCUGCCGGGAUCUUAUCAGCGAGCGGCCUCGGAAUAGGCUGACCUAAUCUAUUUAAUUCCACUUUGCUUGCUCAAAAUAAACAGUACUUUAAUGCUUUAAAUAAAAUGAGAAUAUUUUUCCAAUUCAUA